UCGAACGUAAGAUGACUGUAGGUGAAAGCUUACAUCUCUUCGGAGCAUUUUACGAGGUGCUGCAUGGUUGUCGUCAGCUCGUGCCGUGAGGUGUCGGGUUAAGUCCCAUAACGAGCGCAACCCCUACCCUUUAGUUGCCAUCAGGUAAUGCUGGGGACGUCUAAAGGAACUGCCUACGCAAGUAGUGAGGAAGGCGGGGAUGACGUCAAAUCAGCACGGCCCUUACGUCCAGGGCUACACACGUGCUACAAUGGCCGAUACAGAGGGCAGCUACCUGGUGACAGGAUGCAAAUCUCCAAAGUCGGUCUCAGUUCGGAUCGGAGUCUGCAACCCGACUCCGUGAAGUUGGAUUCGCUAGUAAUCGCGCGUCAGCCAUGGCGCGGUGAAUACGUCCCCGGGCCUU
rnacentral:rRNA from 1 species